GCAUUGUUGGCGUUCUUCUUAUUGUCAUUUUUUUGGGGUUUAUCUGCCUUUUGUGUGGAGGUUGAGCUUUCAGGAUGAACUUUCCUGUGGAACAUAUGUAGGAUCUGCAUGCCACACAUCAAUCAAAGUUAUAUACCUGAAAACCCGAAGCUUUGUUCACUUUGCUUAUGAUGAGAGGAUAAGAGGUAAGCUACUUUUCAAGAUCAGAAGUUGAACUGUUUAUGAAUGAGACAUCUAUUGCUCCCUGGAAGCCUCCAACGCCUAAGAUGAAGCUGGCUGGAGAGAAACAUAAAGAUAGUUACAAGCUGUGGGUUGGCUUUGGCUAUUCAUUGUCAAGAUCAAAUCAUGUGGGUAAAUGGAUAGUGGGUCCUGGAUCCUUCUAGCAGAUGAUUGUGUGUAUGCCACAUGUUUAGUUUUAUUGCAAGGUUAUUAAAUUAUUUUGCUGCUUUGGGUUAAUUUGCUCUAAUGUAAAAAGUCCUGCAUUAAGCACCAGAUAUAACAUUCUUAUUAAUACUGUACAAUGCAUCUUGUUUGCUGCCAAUCUUAUAAAUCUAAAUGCUCCUUUGAUCACGGCUUAUGUAACUCGUUUGAAACUGCACUCUUCAAUUUGACAUGUUUACGCAUGUGCAAUUUCUGUUGUCUGUCUAACAAUAAAUAUUGCUCAUGUAUUAUUCUGCUGGAUACUUGGAGGGAGAAGACUCCACAUUCAGAAUGGGGAUAUAAGAGAAUAUUUUGUCGGAGUUUAAUGAGUUCAAGGACAAUAUGACAAACAAAAAGAUCUUUUCCUAUUAGGAACUAGAGUACAUUAUUAAGCUAAAAUACCUGUUGCUCUUUGGUUGGUCCACCCACUGGUGGGCAUUUGUUUAGAUUGCCAUUUCUAUGAUAUGAAAUUAUGAUUGUUAAUAUCUUAUUUACUAUAUGAUGUUGGCCUUAAACUUUGCAUGUUUGCAGCGGGGAAUCAAUUUCACUUGUAUACUCUGAAGCUAUAAAAUUUCUUUAGGAGACCCGAACAGCAUCACAGGAACGAGUAUACCUAAGCCUUAAUGUUAAUAGUUUGAAUUGAUGUGCUUCAUAAUAGUUAGCAAACCCCGCAUAUUCUCUACCAUUUUAUGCAAUCCAACUUUAAGAGCCUGGUUUGUCUUAUGCUGAUUGUUGUGAUACAUAACCCCUACUUUCUUUUUAUGACCUGUUAACUAUAAUUAGGGCCCUCUGACCCUACUACUGCUGGCUCCUUUUUGCUGUGGGAUGUCGAAGCUGCCAUGUCAGAUCAGGUAGUUUUCCUUUAGAGUUAGCCAGUCAUGAUCAAAUUCUGUACCAUCAUCAGAUAUGUGUUUUCUCUUAGUUUAGAUCAUUUGGACCAGGACUGUAUGUCCUUGAGAUACUGAGUAUUCCCCACAAGCAACUUUAUGAAUAGAACUGUGCUGAAAAAUUGGAAGAGGGUUUUUAGCUUAGAGACAAAGAUAAUGGAAUCAUCCUUGAUUAGGACAAAUAUCUUUCUAUGAAAGUUGAUUUCUAAAUUAUGGAAGAAAGAAACAAGAAGCAUUAUUUCAUUGAAAACCUAUGAUUUGAAUAUAAUUUGCACGCUUUUUAAGUAUUGUUUAUUUCAAGUGAUAAAGAUGAUAAUGAAUUACUUCUGAUUAGAAAUUCCGUUUGCUAUGUUUAGAUGUUUUUGGCAUUCUAAAACCUAUAAUCAAACAAACUUCAGUUCUAAGCUAAGGUUACUGGGAUUAGUAUGUGGUGGAGAAUUGGAAGUACGUGGCUGCAGUAAGUUGGGAGAUUGGUUGACAUUGGAGCAGCUCCUGAGGUCUAAGAUUAUGAAGUUGGUUUUGGUGGUAAGGUUCGAGGAACAUGCACUGGAGCUACCUUGGUUUCGAAUGCUUUUCAAUAUUUUGGAUUGCCCAAAAGAAGAUUUCUGUGGCUGUGGCGAUGUGUUGAGACAUGAAGAAGUAACAUAUAGGCCGACAAAGAAAACACUAUGGAAAUGAAAAAGCUGAAUCCAACCCAUGUGUAUGGCUUCCAUGUCAUAUAUUAAUCAUUUCAUAAAGGAGUAGGGUCAGGUGGAUUUUUGUGCAAACUUCUUUUGGAUAUCAAACAUAAAACUAGAAUACAAAAACUCACGCACAGUUUGCAGCCACAAACAUGAGGGUAGCCGACUCUGCAGGAGACACUAGAAGACGGUGUAGGGAGAUGUUUUUUACUUCUGCUGAAUUAGAGGACUUUGCUAUGAAGCAACUGAGAACAUCAAGCGAACAGAUAAGGUCAAGCUGGUGGUGGCUGCAGGGGAAUGUUGAUUCUGCUGGAGAAUAGAACCUUAACUAAUUGAAUGUAACAUCUUCAUCAGCUUAAUUGUGGUUGGAAAUAUAUGUGGAUGUGAUGCCUAACACGCGUAUGGUCAUCGUUCAGCCAAAUACAAGCAUCCUGUAAGCAACAAUUUGUCAAACAACCUGAGACAAGUCAUGCUAUAUCAACAAACUGGUUGGCUUUCUAUUUGGAUUUCAGUGCCCGGGGCCUCCUUAGGUUGUCCUGGAGUAUGGCCUGAGCGCACCUCAACCAUCAUAUGCUUCUAAGCAGAAGAAAGCAAGUUCUAAACCAAGUUUUACUGUUUGGAGAUCCAGAUUGACAAACGUUGCCUGCUAAAGCUGCGUGUAUUAUAUGAUGAUGGAGCUUCGUUUUUGCACUUCAAUUUUAUGCCAUGUUAAUUAUCUUCAUUGCUGGUAAGAAUACUGCAGUCCUCAAAUCUGGAAACUGGACAUAAACCCAGAAGCACCCAUCGCAUGUUUCGUAUCGGAAUGGUGUAUUAAAUUUUUAUUUCAUUAAGCCCCAUCACGGUUUUUACCAAGAUGAAUUUGCUACUGUGAUCAGGGGCGACUCUGGCAAAAUUAUAUUUUAGUACUACAACAAAAUGCAGAUUUGUUCCCUUGUA